AUUGAACGCUGGCGGCAGGCCUAACACAUGCAAGUCGAACGAGUGGCGGACGGGUGAGUAAUGUCUGGGAAACUGCCUGAUGGAGGGGGAUAACUACUGGAAACGGUAGCUAAUACCGCAUACCAUCAGAUGUGCCCAGGUGGGAUUAGCUUGUUGGUGGGGUAACGGCUCACCAAGGCGACGAUCCCUAGCUGGUCUGAGAGGAUGACCAGCCACACUGGAACUGAGACACGGUCCAGACUCCUACGGGAGGCAGCAGUGGGGAAUAUUGGACAAUGGGCGCAAGCCUGAUGCAGCCAUGCCGCGUGGGUGAAGAAGGCCUUCGGGUUGUAAAGUCCUUUCGGUGGGGAAGCGUUACCCACAGAAGAAGCACCGGCUAACUCCGUGCCAGCAGCCGCGGUAAUAC
rnacentral:rRNA from 1 species